rnacentral:misc_RNA from 1 species
CCCCCCCCCCCCCCCAUCACCCCCCCCCCCCCCGCCUCCACUACCACCUAUGCCACCAUAUUCAAUUCCCCAGUACAUGCAGACUGCUGGAUCAAUAAAUGCUGUGCCAUACGGCUACAGCAUGUCCCAGCAGCAACCACCUUCCUUGCCUGGGUACUCGGGAGUCGGAACUCAAAUGACUGGUAUUGCACCCUUUACAUUGCCCCCAUCAAAUUCAUACACAAGUUAUCAGGGUUCAGAUGGUAAUUUGUACAGCCAACCAUCAUCGUUGCCAAUUUCCCGGCAAUAGAAUUUUUUAUGGCUGCUUGCAGUGGAGAAGGUUUUGCCAAGGAAACUUGAGAGAUUUCAGAAAACUAAUGUACCUUUUUAGUUACCCAUGUGCCUUUGAUCAUACAUAUAAUUAGAUUUGCACAUAGUAAAUGUUUGUAACUUAUAAGUCAACUGCUGGCGUUUCAACAAUUUCUAUGGAUUGUUCAAUU